GGAAGGGAUCGCAAACACUUCUUUAAAUAAUAAGGGGAGAAUAUGGCUACUAUGGGGUCCAAAAAUUACAAUAGUGAAGGAAAUUAAAUACAUAGUCAAUACAUAGAAGCUGAAAUUAAAUGUGUUGCCAAUGAAAUGACCUAUCAUUUUACUGUUAUAUAUGGCCUCCAUACAGUGCAUGAUAGAAAGAAAUUAUGAAGAAAGUUUCG
rnacentral:lncRNA from 1 species